rnacentral:rRNA from 1 species
AACAGGAUUUGAUACCCUGGUAGUCCACGCCGUAAACGAUGUCGACUUGGAGGUUGUGCCCUUGAGGCGUGGCUUCCGGAGCUAACGCGUUAAGUCGACCGCCUGGGGAGUACGGCCGCAAGGUUAAAACUCAAAUGAAUUGACGGGGGCCCGCACAAGCGGUGGAGCAUGUGGUUUAAUUCGAUGCAACGCGAAGAACCUUACCUGGUCUUGACAUCCACAGAACUUUCCAGAGAUGGAUUGGUGCCUUCGGGAACUGUGAGACAGGUGCUGCAUGGCUGUCGUCAGCUCGUGUUGUGAAAUGUUGGGUUAAGUCCCGCAACGAGCGCAACCCUUAUCCUUUGUUGCCAGCGGUCCGGCCGGGAACUCAAAGGAGACUGCCAGUGAUAAACUGGAGGAAGGUGGGGAUGACGUCAAGUCAUCAUGGCCCUUACGACCAGGGCUACACACGUGCUACAAUGGCGCAUACAAAGAGAAGCGACCUCGCGAGAGCAAGCGGACCUCAUAAAGUGCGUCGUAGUCCGGAUUGGAGUCUGCAACUCGACUCCAUGAAGUCGGAAUCGCUAGUAAUCGUGGAUCAGAAUGCCACGGUGAAUACGUUCCCGGGCCUUGUACACACCGCCCGUCACACCAUGGGAGUGGGUUGCAAAAGAAGUAGGUAGCUUAACCUUCGGGAGGGCGCUUACCACUUUGUGAUUCAUGACUGGGGUGAAGUCGUAACAAGGUAACC